rnacentral:misc_RNA from 1 species
CACGGAGGGCGCAAGCGUUGUUCGGAAUCACUGGGCGUAAAGCGCGCGUAGGCGGUUAGAUAAGUCGCUUGUGAAAGCCCGGGGCUCAACUCCGGGACGCCAGGCGAUACUGUUUGACUAGAGCACGGUAGAGGCAAGCGGAAUUCCCGGUGUAGCGGUGGAAUGCGUAGAUAUCGGGAAGAACACCAGUGGCGAAGGCGGCUUGCUGGGCCGUUGCUGACGCUGAGGUGCGAAAGCGUGGGGAGCAAACAGG